CCCUUAGAUGUUCUGGGCCGCACGCGUGCUACACUGAGUGGAUCAGCGGGUCAGGUUGCGCGAAAGCGUUUCCUAAUCUUUAAAUCCGCUCGUGAUGGGGAUUGACGGUUGCAAUUUUCUGUCAUGAACGAGGAAUACCUUGUAAGCGCGGGUCAUCAUCCCGCGCUGAAUACGUCCCUGCCCUUUGUACACACCGCCCGUCGCUCCGACCGAUUGAGUGGUCCGGUGAGGCUUUGGGAUCUGAGCGGAAAGAGCGUUUCGCUGUUUCUGCUCGGAAAACUCAGUCGAACCUUAUCAUUUAGAGGAAGGAGAAGUCGUAACA
rnacentral:rRNA from 1 species